AUGAGUGGCGAACGGGUGAGUAACACGUGAGUAACCUGCCCUCUUCUUUGGGAUAACGCCCGGAAACGGGUGCUAAUACUGAUAUUCACUGGCCUUCGCAUGGGGGUUGGUGGAAAGGUUUUUUCUGGUGGGGGAUGGGCUCGCGGCCUAUCAGCUUGUUGGUGGGGUGAUGGCCUACCAAGGCUUUGACGGGUAGCCGGCCUGAGAGGGUGACCGGUCACAUUGGGACUGAGAUACGGCCCAGACUCCUACGGGAGGCAGCAGUGGGGAAUAUUGCACAAUGGGCGAAAGCCUGAUGCAGCGACGCCGCGUGAGGGAUGGAGGCCUUCGGGUUGUAAACCUCUUUCGCUCAUGGUCAAGCCGCAACACUUGGUUGUGGUGAGGGUAGUGGGUAAAGAAGCGCCGGCUAACUACGUGCCAGCAGCCGCGGUAAUACGUAGGGCGCGAGCGUUGUCCGGAAUUAUUGGGCGUAAAGGGCUUGUAGGCGGUUGGUCGCGUCUGCCGUGAAAUCCUCUGGCUUAACUGGGGGCGUGCGGUGGGUACGGGCUGACUUGAGUGCGGUAGGGGAGACUGGAACUCCUGGUGUAGCGGUGGAAUGCGCA
rnacentral:rRNA from 1 species